CGGCCGCCGGAGAAAAUCAUAUCGCCACAAAUCUGGAUUAUUUGCUCGGAAACCUUUGGCGAUCAUGAAGUUCGCGGACACAACUGGGCUCAACAUUUACAUCGCGUCCAAGGGCGAAAAAAAUACCACAGCAAGUCCCGGCCUUCACUAGUUCAGUCCAGCGGCCAUUCUGGACAGCGCUCUAGCAUCACCCAGUGGUACAGCGGAGUCAACAGCCAGCACUAUUUCGGCUUCCGCGUUCAAAUGUCCAGUCGAUCCCGUUCGACCGUGUCAUCAUCAUGGUGUCAUUCUGACCAGAUCAAGCGACGGAGAAGAGGACGAACGUUACCACAUUAUACAUACAUUUGAGUACUGAACCAUGCACAGCCAUCGUGACAACAAGAUAUUCCAGUUUUGCUUCUGCUGGAUCUGUCACCUCAGCAACAACCUCAGCAUCAUCAUUUGGAUAAACAGCAUCCCUGUUGAUUGGAGAUUCUAACCAUGGCCGAGCUACGUAUCUCUUCCUUCGUCUCCCUUUCUUAAAAUGUCCUCAUGUACACUUCAUGUGAAUGUGGGUGUAUUCACGAGGACUCCCUUUUCUCCCUAUCCCGCCUGGUGGACUCAACUUUUCAGCGGAUGGAUGGAUCACUUGUGGAAGGAUACCUGGCUGAAUUUCCAAAGUUCAAAAGUAGGAAAACAAUUUAUCUCUAUUCCUCUUUCUGACUAUUGAGUGGGCGUUGAUUAUGAAUCGUUACCGAGUUCGAUUAUUCCUGAACUAUAGGCAGUUCCAGUUAUUGACUGGAACUGUUUUCUCUUGCCGUUUUCGUCGACUUGUUCUGGGUUCAUUAAAUAGCUCAUAGUACGACAACAGAUCAGGCUUGUUUUUUCCAAAAUAUUUCAAACUUGAAUUCAAUCAAAGUUCAACUAGGAGAUUUUAUUGAGCGAGAGGGGGACCUGCCGCCACACUGCGUUCAACUCCUUGUUUACAGAUGCUGGUCGGUCAUUGUCGGUUUACCGGUUUUGAUUGCAGUUACUUUUUUUCGGUUCAUCUUUCCGGGAAAGGAGAAUAGAACAAAUGAACAUUGUACUGCGCACACGUUGAUUGUUUGCGCUGCAAUCGAUCGGUCGUUAGUUUUUUCGUUUGAACAGGAAAGAGAUGAGACACAAAUAUCUACAGCACAAUGGGACCGUCGUGAUGGGACUUUUGGUGCCAUUAUGGUACGGUACGGAUCAUCCACACUAGACUUUUUCUUUCUUUUUUUUCCCGUUUUUUUCGGGAAAGAAUAAAAGGGUACCGUGAAUUUUUGAUUCUUUUUUUUUCUCUCUGUGUGUGUGUGUACUGAAAUACCGGUUUUUUAUUUUGGCGGCGUGUUGCUUUUGUGGCGUCCUGUUUUUCCCUGCGUUUCUUUCAUUUCUCUCCUCCAUUCUCGCUGUUCCAUCAAAGGAUGUGAUGAUGAUGACUUGUCGACUGAUGAAUGAUGAUCGAGUGGCUAAGCAUUACAGGGUCACGAGCUCAUCGGUUGGGCUUCUGGAACUUGCUGGCCGACAUUUAAAAAAAAUGAGAAAUAACAGCUGUUUUCUUAUUUUUAUUUUUUACCCCUCUGGCGGUGUAUAUACCAAUAUGCACGGAAGAUUAUAUGCUUUUAUAAAAUGUUGACGGUAUGGCAUCUGUUGUUUUAGCUGCCAGUUGCUCUGAUUCGAUUAAGUAUUAGGCGGGGGGGGGGGGGGUCCUGUAUAUUUCACUUUUGCCUUGUAUAACUUAAUGAGAAUAGAUUGCCUUUUACCACCCAACGAAUACGGUACCUGCUAUAGACCUGAUCAGUCUGAUGCCACGAAACGGCAAUCAUGAAAGGCCAUGGCUUGAUAUGAAGAUGCCGUACUCAUUAAAGCAGCCGGCCAGCCGGUAUAAAGGAAAGGUAGGUAAUGGAGAGUGGGGGUUAAAAUUGUUUAAAAUUUGAAGUUUCAAAGCUAGAAAAGAGAAAAAAGGUAUAAAUAGUAGAAAAGAAAUUGGGUCGGAAUUACUAACACGUUCACCCAACAAAACUUAAUAAUUCGACACCAAUUAUUCGACGCUUCAACAACAAGCAAAGCAACUACAUUUCCGCAAUGGUGUGAAAAUAUUUCGACAACGGAUGUAGCGUACAAAUACUUUGACCUAACCUAACUUAAACUUAACUUAACUAACUUAACCUAAUCUUAAAAACGAAUUGUCAAAGUACUUUUGCUACACUGUGUCGACGUAUUUUGUCACCAGUCGAAAUGCAGUUGCCUUAAAAUGUUGAAGGUAACAUCAAAUGGAAGGUGUCGAAUUAAAGUUUGGUCGGAUGAAACUUGCAAUAUCUGACCCAAUUAUGAAAGAAGAUGAUGAAAAAGAUAAAAAGAA